rnacentral:misc_RNA from 1 species
GAUGAAGAACGCAGCGAAAUGCGAUAAGUAAUGUGAAUUGCAGAGUUUAGUGAAUCAUCGAAUCUUUGAACGCACAUUGCGCCCCUCGGUAUUCCGACGGGCAUGCCUGUUCGAGCGUCGUUCGCACACCCUCAAGCAGAAUUCAUGUCGGCUUGGUCUUGGGCCUCCGUCCCCCACCCCCGCCCGCGAGGGCGGGGAGGGACGGGCCCCGAAGCGAGCGGCGGCCUCGGAUGCACCGCCGGAGCGUCCUCGUGAUAACUCGCUCCGGCGCCGUGCGUUCGCGGCCCGCCUGGACGACGAAACCCCCCGCCCGCAAACGGCGGGAACACCAACAAAGUUCCGACCUCGGAUCAGGCAGGGAUACCCGCUGAACUUAAGCAUAUCAAUAAGCGGAGGA